AUACGUAGGGUGCAAGCGUUAAUCGGAAUUACUGGGCGUAAAGCGUGCGCAGGCGGUUUUGUAAGACAGAGGUGAAAUUCCCGGGCUCAACCUGGGGACUGCCUUUGUGACUGGAAGGCUAGAGUACGGCAGAGGGGGAUGGAAUUCCGCGGGUAGCAGUGAAAUGCGUAGAUAUGCGGAGGAACACCGAUGGCGAAGGCAAUCCCCUGGGCCUGUACUGACGCUCAUGCACGAAAGCGUGGGGAGCAAACAGGAUUAGAUACCCUGGUAGUCCACGCCCUAAACGAUGUCAACUGGUUGUUGGGUCUUCAUUGACUCAGUAACGAAGCUAACGCGUGAAGUUGACCGCCUGGGGAGUACGGCCGCAAGGUUGAAACUCAAAUGAAUUGACGGGG
rnacentral:rRNA from 1 species